rnacentral:rRNA from 1 species
GAUGAACGCUGGCGGCGUGCCUAAUACAUGCAAGUAGAACGCUGAAGCUUGGUGCUUGCACCGAGUGGAAGAGUUGCGAACGGGUGAGUAACGCGUAGGUAACCUGCCUGGUAGCGGGGGAUAACUAUUGGAAACGAUAGCUAAUACCGCAUAACAUUGACUAUUGCAUGAUAGUCAAUUGAAAGGUGCAAAUGCACCACUAUCAGAUGGACCUGCGUUGUAUUAGCUAGUUGGUGGGGUAACGGCUCACCAAGGCGACGAUACAUAGCCGACCUGAGAGGGUGAUCGGCCACACUGGGACUGAGACACGGCCCAGACUCCUACGGGAGGCAGCAGUAGGGAAUCUUCGGCAAUGGACGGAAGUCUGACCGAGCAACGCCGCGUGAGUGAAGAAGGUUUACGGAUCGUAAAGCUCUGUUGUAAGAGAAGAACGAGUGUGAGAGUGGAAAGUUCACACUGUGACGGUAUCUUACCAGAAA